rnacentral:tRNA from 1 species
GGAUUGUGGCUUAGCGGUAGAAAGCUCACCUGGCACACGUGAAGCCCUGGGUUCGAUCCUCAGCACCA